GAUUAACGCUGGCGGCGUGCAUAACACAUGCAAGUCGAACGAUGAAACUUAAUUGAUCUCUUCGGAGUGAAAUUAAGUGGACUAGUGGCGGACGGGUGAGUAACGCGUGAGUAACCUGCCUUAGAGAUGGGGAUAGCCUCUGGAAACGGAGAAUAAUACCCAAUGAUACCAAGCUAUCGCAUGGUAGCCUGGUCAAAGAUUUAUCGCUCUAAGAUGGACUUGCGUCUGAUUAGCUAGUUGGUGAGAUAAUGGCUCACCAAGGCAACGAUCAGUAGCCGGCUUGAGAGAGUGUACGGCCACAUUGGGACUGAGACACGGCCCAGACUCCUACGGGAGGCAGCAGUGGGGAAUUUUGCACAAUGGGGGAAACCCUGAUGCAGCGACGCCGCGUGAUUUAGAAGGCCUUCGGGUUGUAAAAAUCUUUUGUAUAGGAAGAAAAUGACAGUACUAUACGAAUAAGGACCGGCUAAUUACGUGCCAGCAGCCGCGGUAA
rnacentral:rRNA from 2 species